rnacentral:rRNA from 1 species
UACGGGGGGGGCAAGCGUUGUUCGGAAUUACUGGGCGUAAAGGGCUCGUAGGCGGCCAACUAAGUCGGACGUGAAAUCCCUCAGCUUAACUGGGGAACUGCGUCCGAUACUGGAUGGCUUGGAUUUGGGAGAGGGAUGCGGAAUUCCAGGUGUAGCGGUGAAAUGCGUAGAUAUCUGGAGGAACACCGAUGGCGAAGGCAGCCCCCUGGGUUAACACUGACGCUCAUGCACGAAAGCGUGGGGAGCAAACAGG